rnacentral:rRNA from 1 species
UACGAGGGGGGCGAGCGUUGUUCGGAAUUAUUGGGCGUAAAGGGUGCGUAGGCGGUUCCGCAAGUCCUGUGUGAAAUCUUCGGGCUCAACUCGAAGUCUGCACGGGAAACUGCGGGGCUUGAGUGUGGGAGAGGUGAGUGGAAUUUCCGGUGUAGCGGUGAAAUGCGUAGAUAUCGAGAGGAACACCAGUGGCGAAGGCGAGUCUCUGGACAUUUCCUGACGCUGAGGCACGAAAGCCAGGGGAGCAAACGGG